rnacentral:rRNA from 1 species
UACGUAGGGGGCUAGCGUUAUCCGGAAUUACUGGGCGUAAAGGGUGCGUAGGUGGUUUCUUAAGUCAGAGGUGAAAGGCUACGGCUCAACCGUAGUAAGCCUUUGAAACUGGGGAACUUGAGUGCAGGAGAGGAGAGUGGAAUUCCUAGUGUAGCGGUGAAAUGCGUAGAUAUUAGGAGGAACACCAGUUGCGAAGGCGGCUCUCUGGACCGUAACUGACACUGAGGCACGAAAGCGUGGGGAGCAAACAGG